rnacentral:rRNA from 1 species
GACGAACGCUGGCGGCGUGCUUAACACAUGCAAGUCGAACGGAAAGGCCCUGCUUUUGUGGGGUGCUCGAGUGGCGAACGGGUGAGUAACACGUGAGUAACCUGCCCUUGACUUUGGGAUAACUUCAGGAAACUGGGGCUAAUACCGGAUAGGAGCUCCUGCUGCAUGGUGGGGGUUGGAAAGUUUCGGCGGUUGGGGAUGGACUCGCGGCUUAUCAGCUUGUUGGUGGGGUAGUGGCUUACCAAGGCUUGGACGGGUAGCCGGCCUGAGAGGGUGACCGGCCACACUGGGCCUGAGAUACGGCCCAGACUCCUACGGGAGGCAGCAGUGGGGAAUAUUGCACAAUGGGCGGAAGCCUGAUGCAGCAACGCCGCGUGCGGGAUGACGGCCUUCGGGUUGUAAACCGCUUUCGCCUGUGACGAAGCGUGAGUGACGGUAAUGGGUAAAGAAGCACCGGCUAACUACGUG